rnacentral:rRNA from 1 species
UACAGGGGGUGCAAACGUUGCUCGGAAUCAUUGGGCGUAAAGCGCACGUAGGCGGUUUGUUAUGUCGGAUGUGAAAGCCCUUGGCUCAACUGAGGAAGUGCAUCCGAAACUGGCAGCUAGAGUACUAAAGAGGGUCGCGGAAUUCCCGGUGUAGAGGUGAAAUUCGUAGAUAUCGGGAGGAACACCGGUGGCGAAGGCGGCGACCUGGGUAGAUACGUGACGCUGAGGCGCGAAAGCAUGGGGAGCGAACGGG